rnacentral:rRNA from 1 species
UACGGGGGGGGCAAGCGUUGUUCGGAAUUACUGGGCGUAAAGGGUUUGUAGGUGGCUUGUUAAGUCAGACGUGAAAUCCCUCAGCUUAACUGGGGAACUGCGUCUGAUACUGGCGAGCUUGAGUGCAGGAGAGGAACGCGGAAUUCCAGGUGUAGCGGUGAAAUGCUUAGAUAUGACAUAGAACACCCAUUGCGAAGGCAGCUCGCUACACUAUUAUUGACGCUGAGGCACGAAAGCGUGGGGAUCAAACAGG